rnacentral:rRNA from 1 species
CAGCAGUGGGGAAUAUUGGACAAUGGGCGAAAGCCUGAUCCAGCCAUGCCGCGUGUGUGAAGAAGGUCUUCGGAUUGUAAAGCACUUUAAGUUGGGAGGAAGGGCCAUUACCUAAUACGUGAUGGUUUUGACGUUACCGACAGAAUAAGCACCGGCUAACUCUGUGCCAGCAGCCGCGGUAAUACAGAGGGUGCAAGCGUUAAUCGGAAUUACUGGGCGUAAAGCGCGCGUAGGUGGUUCGUUAAGUUGGAUGUGAAAGCCCCGGGCUCAACCUGGGAACUGCAUUCAAAACUGACGAGCUAGAGUAUGGUAGAGGGUGGUGGAAUUUCCUGUGUAGCGGUGAAAUGCGU